AGGUAGUGGUGGAUGGAUCAGGACAGUGUCAUUCUACAGACACAGUGAAGAGCACUCUGGACCCCAAAUGGAACCAACACUAUGACCUGUACAUAGGGAAGACAGACUCCAUCACCAUCAGUGUGUGGAACCAUAAGAAGAUCCACAAGCGGCAGGGCGCCAGUCUUCCUGGGCUGCAUACGACUGCUGGCUAACUCCAUCAGCAGACUGAAAGAUACUGGCUACCAGCGGUUGGAUCUGUGUAAGCUGAAUCCAUCAGACAGUGAUGCAGUACGGGGACAGAUUGUAG